rnacentral:rRNA from 1 species
CAUUUGCCUUUUGCGAUACACUUUCAAAGAGUCAGGUUGUUUGGGAAUGCAGCCUAAAUUGGGUGGUAAAUCUCACCUAAAGCUAAAUAUUGGCGAGAAACCGAUAGCGAACAAGUACCGUGAGGGAAAGAUGAAAAGAACUUUGAAAAGAGAGUUAAACAGUAUGUGAAAUUGUUAAAAGGGAACCGUUUGGAGCCAGACUGGCUUGUCUGUAAUCAGUCUAAGUUUCGGCUUGGAUGCACUUGCAGGCUAUGCCUGCCAACGACAAUUUGGCUUGAGGGAAAAAACUAGGGGAAAUGUGGCCCAUUCGUGGGUGUUAUAGUCCCUUAGAAAAUACCUUGGGCUGGAUUGAGGUACGCAGCGAAUGCUAUUUGGCGAGUUGGCUGGGAAUAUUUUCUGAGGUGCUCUGGUACUGAGGUUGAUAU